GUUGCUUUCCUCAGGCUCUAAGGCCCGCGGUGUGGAGCGCGGCGUAGGCAGCGGGGAGUGGGCGGCGCGGGGUGGGUGGAGUGGGUCGGCGGCGGGGAUCCUGCCGAGCCCGCAGCUGCCCUCUUUUAGCGCCGUGUCUCCUCCCCGGCCCUGGCUCGUCCCACCUCAGCCACAGCCCGGCCCCCUGGCCGGCCGAGGUCUCGCCGCCGGCGCCCUGGGGACCUCGUGGGUGUGGCCGGCGGCGACCUCGGCAGGCGACAGCCCAGCAGACGGGCACCAGGUGGACGUGCCAGUCUCCAGACCCCCGUCCCGGUGCAGGGAAGGUGGGCGUUUGGACCCCUGAGGCAGAAACAGGUGCGGCCCCGCCGGCGCAUCCCCCGGAAGGGACGCUGACUUCGUUCCCCUGGAGCCUGCGUCGGGGCCCGCGCUGGGCUGAGAAUUACGGGAACGCCGUGAGAGUUUGCAUUCCGAGGAUUUGGUCUGAGAACCUCACCAGCGAAAUAGAGAACUGCCCCCGGGAGAGCCGGCCCACGUGCCGCCCACCGGCGCCUUGACGGCAGGGAGAGGUCGAGCUUCCAGGGAGCGGGCGCCCGGCGCGGGGCUCCCAGCCUGUCUGUACCUGGUCGAGACACCCCGUGCCAGAGGCGGAACAUGUAUGAAAUGCCAGGUGCCCAGAGGACCCAGGCAGUCCGUCAUUCACAUACCAACCCACGUGCAGGCUUCAAUUCAACCUUGAAGCCAUUUGGGCCUGGGCUUUUUUGAUGACUUAUUUGAUUCAUAGUUUUUUGGUUACUAAUUGAGUCUCUUCACUUGUUAUAGGUCUGUUGAGAUUGUCUAUUUUUUCUUGAGUCAGCCGUCUGAAAAGAACACGAGGUGGACAGGGCAGAGCGGUCAAGGAAAGCCAUAGGAGGAGGGCACUUAUUUGAGCAAAGACCGGCGGGACGUGGGCGUCGAGGGUAAGGAUAUCUGCAGAAGUACUGUCUUGAGCAAGGAGCACGGCAGACAGAGCCUCUGAGACACGAGAGCCUGGAGUGUAAGAAACACAGUAGAGGCCACUAAGUCGAGAACGCAGGAGCUGGAAGGACUGGUAGGAAAUGGGAGGUGGGGACAUGGAGGGAUGCAGACAGGUCCUGCACAGUCAGAACUGUGGCCCCUUCUCUGCAGGAAAUGGGCAGCCUUCGGAAGACUGAGCACACGGAAGGAUAUGACUAACCCUUUAAAAGGGUCAUUCUGACUCCUGGGUGAAGAACAGACUAGGAAGGGCUGAGGAGGAGGCAGGAGGCCAUCUACUGUUAUAUGGGAUGUGGAGUGUGACCCGGAAAGGUCAAGUGUGACUCUAAGGGCUUUUUGUGUACUGAUCUUUUAUCCUGCAACCUUGCUAAACCCAUUUAUUAGUUCUUCUUGUCUUUUAGUGGCAUUUAUUAGUUGUUCUAGUGUUUUAGUGGAUUCCUUGGGAUUUUAUACAAAAGCGUGUCAUUUGUGAAUAGAGAUCAGUUUAUCUCUUCCUUUCUAAUCUGGAUGCCUUUUAUUUCUUCUCCUUGCCUAGCUGCCCUAUCUAGAAGCUCCAGUACAAUAUUGACUAGAAGCAGCAAGAGUGGACAUCCUUGUCUUGCUCCUGAUUUCAGGGAGGAGGCAUCCAGUCUUUCACCUUUGGACAUCCUGAGGUUCCCACCAAGUGGACAUUGGCUUAUUCUACAAGCAACAGGAUGAGGCCCCUGGACUCCUCACUAGCAAAAUAGUGCAGUGACAGCAACACCCCCCCCCACACACACACACACAAAGAUGUCCACAUCUUAAUUCCUGGAACCUGUGAAUGUGUGACCUUACCUGGUGUCUUAGUUCAUUUGUGCCACUGUAACAAAAUACCACAGACUGGGUAAUUUAUAAACAAUAUAAAUUUGUUUCUCAUGGUUCUGAAGGCUGGGAAGUCCAAGAUCAAGGCACUGGCAUGUCCUGUGUCUGGUGAGAGCACUUCGUUACUGUUUCCUCUGGAGGGAAGAAUGCUGUGUCCUCACAAGGUGGGAUGGACAGAGGGGCAAGAAAAGGCCAAACUCCACAGGAAGCCUCUUUUAUAAGAGGAGCCCUCGUGACCUAGUCCGAAAUGGCCCCACCUCUUCUUUCACCACAAUGGGGACCAAGUUUGUUGUUAGUUAACCUAAAUGACAGAGGAGCUCUCUAAAGAGAUAUUUAUUCAGGAAUAGGGCCUUGCAACGGGAACACGUAUAUUACGGUAACUGCAUGUUCAAGGAAGACAAAAGUUUUAAAGGAAGAAAGGAAGAUUACAUAAUCAUUUUGAAAUGAUACUCUUGACUGCAAAGAUUAAUAGCAAGGGAGACACCGGUCCAAGUUUGGAAGGUAGCUGCUGGGCAGGUAUCCUUGCAGAAGUAUUUUCUUGUGUAAGAUUUCAGCGGCCUUGGCCAGGUGUGGUGGCUCACGCCUAUAAUCCUAGUAGUUUGGGAGGCUGAGGUGGGUUAAUCACUUGAAGUCAGGAGUUCAAGACCAGCCUGGCUAACAUAGUGAAACUCUGUCUUCACUAAAAAUACAAAAAUUAGCCGGGCAUGGUGAUGCAUACCUCUAAUCCCAGCUACUCAGGAGGCUGAGGCAGGAGAAUCACUUGAACCCGGGAGGCAGAGGUUGCAGUAAGCCAAGAUUGCACCACUGCACUCCAGCCUGGGCGACAGAGCAAGACUUGGGCUCAAAAAAAAAAAAAAAAAAUUCAAUGGCCUUUGUGCAAGGUUGUGGGUUUUGUGGUCUUUUGUGAUAGUUUUUGUUAUCGGGCAUAUGGACCCUCUCUUCAUGGCCUUCCCUAGCUCUAUUUGUUAGGGUUUUCUUAACAUUAGUCACUCUGUUUUGAUUCUGACAACUUUCAGUUUCAACAUGAAUUUUGGAGGGGAUGCCAUCUUUUAAAUCAUCGUACCUGGUAAAAGGGACUUUGGAGAUGGGAUUAAGUGAAGGGCCUUCAGAUGGGGGGUUAUCCUGCGCUAUCCAGGUAGGUCCCAUAUAAUCACGAUCAUGAGAGGGAGGUAGGAGCUUCACAGUUGGACAGAAGAUGUGACCACAGAAGCAGGGGUCAGAGGAGGGAAGAUGCUGGCUUUGAAGGCAGAGGAAGGGGCCACAAGCCAAGGAAUGUGGAGACCCCUAGAAGCUGGAAAAGGCAGGGACAGAUUCUCCCCUACCCUAGAGCCUCCAGAAGGAGCCAGCCCUGCCAACACCUUGACUUUACCUCAGUGAGAUAAUUUAGACUUCUGACCUCAGAACUGUAAGAGAAUAAAUGCUUGUGUUUCGACCACUGAAUUUUUGGUAAUUUGCCAUAGCAGCUGCAGGAAACAUAUACACAUGGUGACUAGUUACUGAGUUCCUUCCCCAGACACACUCAGGAGCAUGUAACCACCACAGCCUCCUAGUGGAAGCACAGGUCCUGCAGAGAGGCCAUGCCUGUGCACCCCAGGAGCCAAGGCCACCCUCCUGCACAGGGCACCACCCCUUGCACCUGCACACUCCAGCCUCCACACAGCCCUUGGUCAGGGCUGGGUACACCAGGGAAUGUUUCAAAGUAAAGCAUCCCUUACUGUGGUCAUUCUCAGCACUUUUUUUCUGGAAAGACAGAUAUGACAGAAUAUGUUCAUGUGUGACAUGGGCCCAUGGGGGUGUUUGGGAUAGUUAUCAUAUCCAGCACACCGAGAAGGUUGAUAUUGAGAACUGGGACAGGAAAAAAUACCAUCUUUAUCAUCACUGGCCUUUAACCAAAAUUUAACAUUUUCCUGAAUUAUGAAUCUAGGCAACCAACUGCUGCAGCAGCAUCAGCAGUGUCCGGGACUCCACCUCCUACAGAAGUCGUGGAUGUCUCACAUCACAUCACCAUUGCUGCAGAUGCCACAGAAUACCAUUCUGCUCAUCAUUGCUCCAAAAUUACCAUAACUCCUGGACCAGCUGCUUGAUUACAUUAUUUAAUGCAUUCAUAAAGAGGCACAUGCAGUACUGUACCACCGUUUAAAAUUUGUGAUGAAAGUACUUUAAUUUCAUUUUUAAUUUUGUAGGCAUUAAAAGCAUUAUCUGAAUCUCAAAGAAAAGUCCAAGACCUGAUGGUUUCCUGGUGAAUUCUACCAAACGUGUAAAGAAGAACUAAUACGAGCCCUUCAUAAACAUUUCCAAAAAACUGAAGAGAAGGGAACACUUCUUAACGCAUUCUAUGAGGCCAGCAUUACCCUGGUACCAAAGCCAGACAUACACAUGACAAGAAAAGAAAACUACAGACCAAUAUUCCUUAUGAACACUGAUGCAAAAAACCUCAACAAAGUACUGGCAAACUUCAGCGGCAUAUUGAAAGGAUUAUACACUAUGACCAAGGAGAUUUAUUCCUGGAAUUCAAGGAUGGCUUAGUAUACAAAAAAAAAAAAAUCAGUGUACUACACUAUACUAACAGCAUGAAGGAAAAAACUACAUGAUCAUCUCAAUUGAUGCAGAAAAAGCAUUUGACAAAACAACACCCUUUCAUGAUAAAACCACUCAACAGAUUAGGACUGGAAGGCAACUACCUCAACAUAAUAGAAGCCAUUUAUGCAAAGCCCACAUCUAACACUGCUCAGUGAUGAAAGGCUGAAAACUUUUCCUGUAAAAUCAGGAAUAAGAGGCCGGGUGCGGUGGCUCACGCCUGUAAUCUCAGCACUUCGGGAGGCCAAGGCGAGUGGAUCAGCUGAAGUUGGGAGUUCAAGACCGGCCUAAGCAACGUGGAGAAACCAUGUCUCUACUAAAAAUAGAAAACUAGCCAGGCGUGGUGGUGUACACCUGUAAUCCCAGCUACUCCGGAGGCUGCGACAGGAGAAUCGCUUGAACCCAGGAGGCAGAGGUUGUGGUGAGCCAAGAUCGCACCAUUGCACUCCAGCCUGGGCAACAAGAGCAAUACUCCAUCUGAAAAAAAAUUAAAAUCAGGAAUAAGGCAAAAAUAUCCACUUUUGUCCCUUCUAUUAAGAUCUAGCCAGAGCAAUUAGGCAAGAAAAAUAAAAGACAUCCAAAUGGAAAAGGGAGAAGUAAAAUUAUCUCUGUUUACAGAUUAUAUGAUCCUAUAUGAAGAAAAUCCUAAAGAUUCCACAGAAGAUCUGUUAGAACUAGUGAAUGAAUUCAGCAAAGCAGUAGGAUGCAAAGAACAAUCUGAAAAGGAAAUUAUGAAAACAAUUCUAUGUACAAUAGCAUAAAAAGAAUAAAACAAGAUUAAGGCAGUGAAAGCUACAAAACAUUACUGAAAGAAAUUAAGACACAGAUAAAUGGAGAGACAUUUUGUGUUCAUGGGCUGGAAGACUUAAUAUGGUUAAGAUGUCAGUACUACCCAAAGCAAUCUACAGAUUUAAUGCAGUCCCUAUAAAAUCCCAAUGACAUUUUUUGCAGGAACAGAAAAACAUCUUAAAAUUCAUUUGGAAUCUCAAGGGACCCUGACUAGCCAAAACAGUCUGAAAAAGAACAAAGUUUAAGGACUUUCACUUCCUGAUCUCAAAACUUUCUACACAGCUAUAGUAAGCAAUGUGGCACUGGCAUAAAGACAGACAUAGAAACCAAUGGGAUAGAAUAGCGAGCCCAGAAACAAACCCUUGCAUACAUGGCCAGAUGAUUUUUUAAUAAGGGUGCCAAGACCAUUCAGUGGGGAAAGGACAGUCUUUUUCAGCAAAUGAUGCUGGGAAUACUAGAUAUCCACACACAGAAAAAUAAAGUUUGGCCCUUACCUUACCACAGAUAGAUUCAAAAUGGAUCCAAGACCUAAAUGUAAGAUCCAAAACUAUAAAAUUCUAAGAAGAAAAUAAAGGGCAAAGCCAGGCACAGUGGCUCGUGCCUGUAAUGCCAGCACUUUGGGAGGCUGAGAAAGGAGGACUCAUCCCCCGAGGCCGGGUGUGGUGGCUCACGCCUAUAAUCCCAGCACUUUGGGAGGCCGAGGCAGGUGGAUCACGAGGUCAAGAGAUCAAGACCAUCCUGGCCAAAGUGGUGAAACCCCAUCUCUACUAAAAAUACAAAAAUUGGCUGGGUGUGGUGGCAUGUGCUGGUAGUCCCAGCUACUCAGGAGGCUGAGGCAGGAGAAUCGCUUAAACCCAGGAGGUAGAUAGAGGUUGCAGUGAGCUGAGAUUGCACCACCGCACUGCAGCCUGGCAACAGCGAGACUCUGUCUCAAAAAAUAGGAGGACCUCUUGAGCCCAGGAGUUUGAAACCAACCUGGGCAACAGAGAGAGAGACCCUGUCUCUACAAUAAAUUUUAAAAUGAGCCAGGUGUGGUGCACACCUGUAGUCCCAGUUACUCAGGAGGCUGAGGUGGGAGGAUCACUUGAGUCCCGGAGUUUGAGGCUGCAGUGAGCCGUGAUUACACCACUGCACUCCAUCCUGGAUGACAGAGCAAGACCCUGUAGCAAAAAAAAAGAAAAAGAAAAAUAUAGGGCAAAAGCUUCGUAACACUGAAUUUGGCGAUGAUUUCUUGGAUAUGACACCAAAGGCCCAGGCAACAAAAGAAAAGAUAAAUUGGACAUCAUGAAAAUCAAAACAUUGCUUUCAUUAAAAGACACUGUCAGCAGAAGCUGGGCAUGGUGGCUCAUGCCUGUAAUCCUAGCACUUUGGGAGGCCGAGGCUGGUGGAUCACUUGACCUCAGGAGUUGGAGACCAGCCUGGGCAACAUGGUGAAACCCCAUCUCUACAAAAAAACACAAAAAUUAGCCAGGCAUGGUGGCUCAUUCCUAUAGUCCCAGCUGCUUGCAGAGCUGAGGCAAGAGGAUCGCUUGAGCCCAGGAGGCAGAGGUUGCAGUGAGCCGAGAUUGUGCUACUGCACUCCAGCCUGGGUGACAGAGUGAGACUGUCUCAAAAAAAAAACAAAACAAAAGAGUAGAAAGACAACCUACAAAAUGGGAGAAAAUAUUUGCAAAUAUUGUAUCUGAAAAGGGAUUAAUAUCCAAGACUCCUAAAACUCAAAAAUAGAAAACCAAACAACGUGGUUAAAAAAUGAGCAACAGACUUGCAUAGACGCUUCUCCAAAAAAGAUACACAGAUGGCCAAGAAGCACAUGAAAAGAUGCUCAACAUCACUAGUCAGUAGGGAAAUGCAAACCAAAAACCACGAGAGACCCCCUCCCAGCCACUGGAAUGGCUGCUACCAAAAAACUAGAAAAUAGCAAGUACCAGGGAGGAUGUAGAGAAACGAGAAGCCCUGUGCACUGUUGCUGGGAAUGUAAAAUGGUGCAGCCACUGUGAAAAACAGCAUGGAAGUUCCUCAGACAAUUAAACAGAAUUACCAUGGGACCCUGUAAUUGAAAGCAGGGUCUCCAAGGGGUGUUUGGACACCCCAGUUCACGGCAGCUUAUUCCACUUGGGUGGAAACAGCUGAAGUGUCUGUGGACAGAUGGAUAAGGAAAAUGCGGCCUCACCACACAAGAAAAUACUACUCAGCCCUAAAAAGGAAGAAAACUCUGACCCACACUACAAUACGGAUGAGCCUUGAGAACAUUAUGCAGAGUGAAAUGAGCCAGUCAUGAAAGGACACAUCCUGUAGUCCCACUCAUUGGCAGUCCCCAGAGUCAUCAGAUUCAUAGAGACAAGAAGUAGAAAGGUGGCUGCCGGGCUGGGGAGGGGACGGAAGUGAGUGUUUCAUGGGGACAGAGUGGGCAGAUGGAGAGUUCUGUGGAGGGAGGGAGGUGAUGGUCCCGCAUUGCUGUGACUGCUUAAUGCCAGUGACCUGCGCACCUGCAAUGGUCAAUCUCUGCCCUCCAGCGGGUGCCCCCAUGGUGCCAGGCCCCCGUCAUCUUGGGGUGCACAGCGCAGCGGUGUCUCACCAGGAUGGGAUCCGCUGAGGGUUGGAGCCUCAGCUCAGGCCAGGGCUGCACCUGCCCCCACCACACCAUACACACCUCCCCCACUCUGUUCCCCAUUGGCCCCCUCCUCACUCCACCCAUGCUGUCUGGCCCCUUCUCCCCCAGGUUCUGCAAGAGCGGGUGUGGUGGGCCCACUUGCAGUCCCAGCUCCUGGGGAAAUUGCAGGGGCUGCUGGAACCCAGGAAAUCCCAGCUCGCUGGGCAUCUUGAACCUACCAAAAAACACCCUCAGCAGAAAAUGAGAGGGCAGGAAGGAUGUCAGCAGAGCCUCUGUGGACUCUUCAUGGGAGGGAGGACUCUCAUGCUGACUUGCAAGGAGGCACCCCGGAAGCCCCCAGUCCAGGAGUGACAUGGGAAGGGUAGUUCAGAGGCAGGUUUCUGACCCCUCUGGCCUCCAUCAGAGCCACCGCAAAAAUUCCACCUGUUAAAUAAAAACGGACUGAGGCCGUGGUGCACUCCUGUAAUCCCAGCCCUUUGGGAGGCCAAGGUGGGAGGAUCGCUUGAACCCAGGAGCUCAAGACCAGCUUGGGCAACAUAGCAAGACUCCACCUCUACAAAAAAAUUAGCCGGGUGUGGUGGCGUGUGCCCUUGGUCCCAGCUACCCAGGAGGCCGAGGCGGGAGGAUUGCUUUGGCCCACUGGAAUGUUCUGCCAGGAGGGGGUAGUUUAGAGCCUAUGAACCACGGCAAUGAGCACUGCGAGCAGGGACAAUGGGGGGCUGGGGUUGGGGUGGGCUCCACGAGCGCUGAAAGCUGAGCUAUCCCAGGGACCUGGGAGGUGACCCUGUGGCUGCCGAGUUUCUCUCUGGAUGCACACCAUGUCUAUGAACCCUAAGGAAGGGUCCCCACUUUGCUGGGAGCCUCGGAGGCUGGGGGCACCAUCCCCAAUCCCUCGGGGCAGGCUCAGAUCCUGGCACACUGACAUUGCCAGCCACUCCUGGGCACUUGCUGUGUGCCGACCCAGGACUAGGAGCUGCACCUGGGCCCCAGGAUGUCCCCUAGUUUGCAAAUGUGGAAACUUGAGUCUCAGAGACUUAGGGACAUUGGCCUCUGUGAAUCUCAGGGCUGCUUCUCCUGAGGCCUGAACCAGGCCUGGCACUGUCUGCUGGGUGCGGGCCCAGCCCUGGGAGGACCCAGCAGGGGUGCUCAGACCUCCCAUCCCAUGGCUAACCCACCGCUGGGGAGGAAACCUGUGGACACUUGCACUGAAAAAUGUCACUCUCUACAAGUAUGCAAGGGAGUCGGACCAUCUCCCAUCAGACCUGGACACCCGCCGGACACCACAGCCCCUAACACUCCGGCCAGGUCGCUCCAGGCUGGCACAGGUGGCACCCAGCCAGUCACACUUAAAGCAGGGUUUCCCUGGCCUUACCAUAUUAUCACUCCCCAAGGAGGAAAUGCGAAUUUUUAAUUAAGUGAAUUAAAUGCUAAUUUAAUUAAGUGAAUUAAA